CUACGUGCCAGCAGCCGCGGUAAUACGUAGGUCCCGAGCGUUGUCCGGAUUUAUUGGGCGUAAAGCGAGCGCAGGCGGUUAGAUAAGUCUGAAGUUAAAGGCUGUGGCUUAACCAUAGUACGCUUUGGAAACUGUUUAACUUGAGUGCAAGAGGGGAGAGUGGAAUUCCAUGUGUAGCGGUGAAAUGCGUAGAUAUAUGGAGGAACACCGGUGGCGAAAGCGGCUCUCUGGCUUGUAACUGACGCUGAGGCUCGAAAGCGUGGGGAGCAAACAGGAUUAGAUACCCUGGUAGUCCACGCCGUAAACGAUGAGUACUAGGUGUCGGGUGAAGAACUCGGUGCCGAAGUUAACACAUUAAGUACUCCGCCUGGGGAGUACGCUCGCAAGAGUAAAACUCAAAGGAAUUGACGGGGACCCGCACAAGCAGCGGAGCAUGUGGUUUAAUUCGAAGCAACGCGAAGAACCUUACCUAAACUUGACAUACCAAUGACAGCCUU
rnacentral:rRNA from 1 species